rnacentral:rRNA from 1 species
UACGUAGGAUGCAAGCGUUGUCCGGAAUUAUUGGGCCUAAAGCAUCCGUAGCCGGUUUUACAAGUCCUCCGUUAAAUCCAGCUGCUUAACAGAUGGGCUGCGGAGGAUACUAUAAGACUAGGAGGCAGGAGAGGCAAGCGGUACUCAGUGGGUAGGGGUAAAAUCCGUUGAUCCAUUGAAGACCACCAGUGGCGAAGGCGGCUUGCCAGAAUGCGCUCGACGGUGAGGGAUGAAAGCUGGGGGAGCAAACCGG